rnacentral:rRNA from 1 species
UAUCCACUUACACCUGUGAAGUGUUCUACUACUUGACGCAAGUCGAGUAUUUUUACAAACAAUGUGUAAUGAACGUCGUUUUAUUAUAACAAAAUAUUACUUUCAACAACGGAUCUCUUGGCUCUCGCAUCGAUGAAGAACGCAGCGAAUUGCGAUCAGUAAUGUGAAUUGCAGAAUUCAGUGAAUCAUCCAAUCUUUGAACGCAGCUUGCGCUCUCUGGUAUUCCGGAGAGCAUGCCUGUUUCAGUGUCAUGAAAUCUCAACCACUAGGGUUUCCUAAUGGAUUGGAUUUGGGCGUCUGCGAUUUCUGAUCGCUCGCCUUAAAAGAGUUAGCAAGUUUGACAUUAAUGUCUGGUGUAAUAAGUUCACUGGGUCCAUUGUGUUGAAGCGUGCUUCUAAUCGUCCGCAAGCAAUUCUUUGACUCUGGCCUGAAAUCAGGUAGGACUACCCGCUGAACUUAAGCAUAUCAAUAAGCGGAGGUGAAGAAACUAACAAGGAUUGACCUAGUAACGGCGAGUGGCGGGAAGAGCUCAAAUUUGAAAUCUGGCAGUCUUCUUCUGUCCGAGUUGUUUAAUCUAUAGAGGCGUUUUCCGUGCCGGACCGUGUCCAAGUCUCCUGGAAAGGAGUAUCAAAGAGGGUGAUAAUCCGGUACUUAACACGUCCACCGGUGCUCUGUGAUACGUCUUCUACGAGUCGAGUUGUUUGGGAAUGCAGCUCAAAAUGGGUGGUGAAUCGUCCAUCUAAAGCUUAAUAUUGGCGAGAGACCGAUAGCGAACAAGUACCGUGAGGGAAAGAUGAAAAGCACUUUGGAAAGAGAGUUAAACAGUACGUGAAAUUGUUGAAAGCAGAACGAUUGAAGUCAGUCGUGUUCUUUGGAUUCAGCCAGUUCAAUUGGUCUACUUCCUUGGAACGGGUCAACAUCAGUUUUGUCCGGUGGAUAAAGGUAGUAGGAAUGUGACUUCUCCGGAAGUGUUAUAGCCUAUUAUCAC